AGUGAACGCUGGCGGUAGGCCUAACACAUGCAAGUCGAACGGCAGCACAGGAGAGCUUGCUCUCUGGGUGGCGAGUGGCGGACGGGUGAGGAAUACAUCGGAAUCUACUCUGUCGUGGGGGAUAACGUAGGGAAACUUACGCUAAUACCGCAUACGACCUACGGGUGAAAGCAGGGGACAUUCGGGCCUUGCGCGAUUGAAUUAGCCGAUGUCGGAUUAGCUAGUUGGCGGGGUAAAGGCCCACCAAGGCGACGAUCCGUAGCUGGUCUGAGAGGAUGAUCAGCCACACUGGAACUGAGACACGGUCCAGACUCCUACGGGAGGCAGCAGUGGGGAAUAUUGGACAAUGGGCGCAAGCCUGAUCCAGCCAUACCGCGUGGGUGAAGAAGGCCUUCGGGUUGUAAAGCCCUUUUGUUGGGAAAGAAAUCCAGCUGGCUAAUACCCGGUUGGGAUGACGGUACCCAAAGAAUAAGCACCGGCUAACUUCGUGCCAGCAGCCGCCGUAA
rnacentral:rRNA from 1 species